GCGCGCUACACUGAUGCAUGCAACGAGUACUUCCUAAGUCGAGAGACUUGGGUAAUCUGUUGAACGUGCAUCGUGAUAGGGAUAGAUCAUUGCAAUUAUUGAUCUUGAACGAGGAAUUCCUAGUAAACGCGAGUCAUCAGCUCGCAUUGAUUACGUCCCUGCCCUUUGUACACACCGC
rnacentral:rRNA from 1 species